UGCAAGCCGCACGCUGGUUGGACCGUGCGGGCGCUGUCCCCCCUCCCCAGGCGAUCCUUACACUUCGUUUCGGUGUUUGGAGUGUGUGCGCGCGCGGGGGGCGGCUCCGCUGUCCCCUCCUGUCGUAGUUAGAGUGAGCUGUUGAGGAAAGCUCGCUCUCUCCCUCUUUCUCAAAGGUUCUGGAACCUGGUGUGGGUUUUUCUCGGGGAGGGUGGGGGAUUAUUUAUUUGAAUGCGCCCGGAGUUUGUAAAGACCAGGAGGAAGCCACGGCUUUAAUUACUGUUGUAAAUAAUGUAUAAAUCACGCCUGUCACUCCGGAGGAAGCGGGCUCGCGCGAGCCGCCCGGGGCGGGGGACGCAGAGGAUCCCUCCGGCCCGGGCACCGGCCCAGCGCGCCCCCUCCUCGCGCACCGGGCCUGCGGCGUCGACUGGGGGUGCUGGGAGAGGCGAGUGGGGGCCCGGGAGCCGCUCCCUUCCUCUCGGGGUGAUAGUUGGAGGUGACUUUACAAUCUCUAGACCCAGACAUUUCUCUCCGAAGUGGAGUGAAGGAAGGAGAACCACAAGCUAAAGUGUGUUUCGCUGGGUGAAGUAUUUUGGGGGCAAGAUAAGAAGGGUGAGGCAGGGGAACGGAGUGGUGCGUACAGAGAUUCAGAACGCCUGCUUGGGGCUGGGGAGUGGGGGCUGGGGACGCAGGCAGGGACUCUCUGGAGGGAAAAGAGACUUCUGUACAAAAGAAAAUGAAAUUAGCAUUGACUCUGAAAUGGCUGGGAAUGUGACUUUCUAAUUUUAAAUUAUCUUUAACAAGGGCAAUGAAAAGAGGAAAAGUUGACACUUUGAGAAGUUAUGACGAACUUGUCGAGAAUGCCAAUUGACAAAGGCAGGUAAGGGAAUACUUGGAAAAAAAGCAGAGUGAGAACAGGUCUGAAGGGCACGGUGAGCUGCUUCCUAGUGCGCUAAGGGAAUUGGCGGGCGUGUUUAUUGACUCUUCCAAUUAGUUUUAAAGAAACCUGAAGAAAUGGACAAAGACGGAGAAAAGGCAACCAGAUGUGAUUCUGCCCUUCCAGAGGCAAGGAGGCUUGUUAUCAUCCCGUAUGAUCGAUGCCAGGCAUGGGAAGGAAUGACUGUGUGGAAAUUAAUGGAUUUUCAACAUCCAAUCACAGAGGAAACACAUGUAUAUUUAGCAAGUCUAAAGCCUCUUAAAUAAACUGCAUUGCUUUUCAUUUUCACUUUCCAGUUAUAAAACCAGUGGAUGAUGAAAAGGCCAUGUGACAACACAGCAUGUACUCCCGGGAGCAUUGGUGUGACAGGAAUAUUAUAUCUGAAGGGACAGGGCGCCUGGGAGGGUGAACUGCCCAUAACUCUCAAUUGUCCAGGUAAUGAAGCAUUGGCAAAGCAAAGGCAAAUGAAAUAACCUGAUCAUCACAAGUGAUUCCUCUUUUAGUGCUCUUAUUAGUUGACUGAUGAUGACAAGUGUGAAAUUGCCAGGGUUGUAGCUCCCCAUUUCUGGCACCCAUCACACACUUGGGAUGAGCACGUGUGUGCAGAAAGUGGGAGCCCGGGCGGUUUCUGUA